GCGUUGUCCGGAAUUAUUGGGCGUAAAGAGCUCGUAGGCGGUUUGUCGCGUCGGCUGUGAAAACUCAGGGCUCAACCCUGAGCCUGCAGUCGAUACGGGCAGACUAGAGUAUGGCAGGGGAGACUGGAAUUCCUGGUGUAGCGGUGAAAUGCGCAGAUAUCAGGAGGAACACCGGUGGCGAAGGCGGGUCUCUGGGCCAUAACUGACGCUGAGGAGCGAAAGCGUG
rnacentral:rRNA from 1 species